AUGGCUGAGGGUUCCGCCGCCACGGCCGCGGCGGCCUCGGCUCCGGGGCUGCGGGCGGGCGGGCGAGGAGGCGGCCGGCCGUGGGGAAGGAAGGCAGAGGGAGGAAGGCGGCGGGCGGGAGGGGGGAGAGGGGGCGGGCGGCGGGGGGAAGGGGCGGGCGCGGCGGCGGCGGCGGCGGGCUUCCCCGCCUCCUCGCCUCGGUGCGCCCCGCGCUCGCUCGGCCGCUGCUCGCCCCGGCGCCCCGCCUCGCCGCGCCUCGGCCACCCGCUCUGGCCGCGCCUCCUCCCGCCCUCCGGGCCGGCGCUCCGCUUCCCCCUUCCUCCUGCGCCUCCGCCUCCUUCCACACAAAUACCAACUCCUCACCCCGAGCCCAGAUCUCGCCGCCGCCGCCGCCGCCACACUCCGCUCAGGCUCGGCCUCGCGAGACUUCCGCGCUGGCCUCGGCCCGCCCCGCCUCGCUCCCACUCGCCCGCGGGCCCUCUCGCUCCUCCUCCUCUGCCAAUCGAUCUGCCCGUUCGCCACCGCGGCCCCGCCCACUCACCCAGGCUCCUCCCGGAUUGGGGUCGCCGGGGCGGCCCCCGCGCGCGCUGGCUGGCCGCGGCGCGUGACGUCAGCGCGCCGCCGCCGCCGCCGCCGCCGCCGCCGCCGCGAGUCGCGUGGCUCCCGCCCUCCGCGGUGCCACAGCAGCGACAUCCGCCGCCCCGGGCCCGGGCCACACUCGGGAGCGGGGCGUCGCCGCUGCAGCCGCCGCCUCGGGAGCCGACUGGAAAUCCGUGGCUAAUCACCAGCAUCUUCAGCAUCCCGUCCUGUCUGAUAAAACUUCAACCCUUGGAUCAACCCACUCUUGUCUCUAUACUUCUGGAAUCCUGGGGCCCGCUGGAGGGAACACCACUCGCCCUCCUACUUGAGGAAAAUUGGAGGGAUCCAGAUUGGUUUGUCCAGGUGCCAGCUGUCCUCUUGUAGCCGCCUCCCCUGCAGGCCGGCCCCCUCCACCCUUCGACCCUGCAGCGCUGCUGGCCGAGCCCCCUGCUCCACCUGUGCUCUGCUCCCCGCCCCUGCUCCCCCAGGCUCCUCUGCCACCGCUGUCUUCACUCCGGACUGUUCUCAUUGGAUUGCAUCUCUCCUGGUCUUUAAAAAUGAGGCUUUCUCAGGGCGCCUGAGUGGCUCAGUCGUUGGGUGUCUGCCUUCGCUCAGGUCAUGGUCCCAGGGUCCUGGGAUUGAGCCCUGCAUCAUCAUCAGGCUCCGUGCUCAGCGGGAAGCCUGCUUUUCCCUCUCCCACUCCCCCUGCUUGUGUUCCCUCUUUCGCUGUGUCUCUGUCAAAUAAAUAAAUAUUUUGAAAUAAAUAAAUAAUAAAUAAAAACGAGGCUCUCUCUAGCCAUUGCCUCUCUCCUUCUGCUCCCAGCUAGGUGUCCCGAGCCCAUCUGUCUUUCCAACCUUGACUUGGUCCGUGGCUCCCGGCAGUCUACCGGCCGCCCCGUUGCCGGCCAGACGGAGGAAAGCUUGCUGACCUCGCCCCCUCACCUGCUCUUGCCCCUGGCACCAGCGGUUGCUGUGUCCCCGGACCCCCCACGGUGGCCGUCCUCACCCUCUGCUUGGUCUCCAUCUUCUCGCUCAUGAUUUCUCUUUCUCCUGCCGCUCUCCUGGUUCCGCAUGCUCCCCUGGGUCACCAGAUCCCCACGUGUGGCUCCCGACGGCCCCCCGCGCACCGACCCCUGCGUGCUGACUGUACUCAGCUCCACGUCUAUCCUGGAUUCACCCCAGAGCGCUGUCGCCCCACUGUUCAGACUCCGUGGCCCGUGGCCCCUGGGACACCCCGCCUGCUGCCCCGUGUCUCCGUCUGCACCAGCCCUGCCCUCCGGCACUUUCCUCUCGCCAGCACACCCCUUGCUCAGGCCCGAAUUUGGGAAUUCAUCUUGGACUCCUCUCUCUCCCUCAUCCCCCAUGUGUAGCCACCAGCUCCUAAUGAGUUGAUGCAGAUAUUUUUCAAAACCAACUUUUCUCCAUUCCCGCUCCUGCCGUCCUUGAGUAGGCUGUGGCUCUCUGUCACCUACGCGUUAGCCAACCAGCCGCUCCACCCGCUGCCAGUCCCCCUUCUAACCUGCAGAUGGGCGCACAUCGCUCCCCUGCUGCAAACUUCUCAGGGGCUCCGGGAGCCUUGGGACCGACCAGCUCCUCGCAAGGCGUUCCUGACCCUGCGGCCUCUUUUUCUAGCCUUCACACCACCUGCAGGCAUGUGCACCGUGCUAGCUCAAACCUCGUUUCCAGACUGUUCCUUUUCCUCUGCCCAAAACGUCCUUUCCUACCUCCUCCAACUUCACUCGUCUUCCAAAGCUGCUCAGGUGACCUCUCUGGGAAGCUUUCUUUGGAAGGGUAUUUCCAUAGUUACCAUUGUUCCCACAUUAUAAUGAAAGUGGCUGUUACCAGCUCUGCUUUCCCACAAAAUCGGACAUUCUCUGAGGGCAGGCAUGGUGUGUGGCUUGCCUCUUGUUCCUGGAGGGAAUCAGAGCCAGCCCAGUGCAGGACACACGGUGGGCCUGUCUGAGCAGACGUACCUGGUGAUGCUGCUACCUUGCCCCGCCCCCCGCCGUCCUCCUGCAUGUGGAAUCAAGUCCAGAACCUUAGCUGGGUUUUAAGGUAGCAUAUGGCAUAGCAAAAAAAAAAAAAAGAGACAGGCCUGGAUUUGAAUAUUUGUUUCACCAUUUAUUAAUUUAGUGAUCUUAGAUGAGUUUCUUAAUCUCUGUGGUCAGUUUCUUUAUCUGUAAAAUAGGCAUAUUGAUGUUCAAGGUUGUUGCAGAGUUAGACUGGAAUCAUAUGCGCAGCGCUCCUGGCUGUAGGAGGUGCUAAAUGCAUUUCCUCCUCCUCCGUACUGGUUUCCCCGUCCCCUGCUGCCCCAUCCUGCCCCCUCCCCCAACAUGGAGCCUCACAAAGGUUUCCUCACUGGUUUCCCCGCCUUUGCUAGUUCUCCUCCCUCCAUUAAGGAAUGCCUUCCUCGGGUCUACCAGCGUCUCCGCCCAAUUCAGAUGCUGCCUCAAGGCAUGCCCAGAUUCUCCAGUUAGAAAUAACUCCCAGGAGGGGCGCCUGGGUGGCUCAGUCGUUAAGCGUCUGCCUUCGGCUCAGGUCAUGAUCCCAGGGUCCUGGGAUCGAGCCCCGCGUCGGGCUCCCUGCUCCGUGGGAAGCCUGCUUCUCCCUCUCCCACUCCCCCUGCUUGUGUUCCCUCUCUCGCUGUGUCUCUCUCUGUCAAAAUAAAUAAAUAAAAUCUUUAAAAAAAAAAAGAAAUAACUCCCAGGAAAAAAAGAAAGAAAGAACUCCCAGAGCAGGUGGUAUUCGCAGCUGACAGUGCACUUAGCGGUCUUUUAAUUACCUGUAGACAGUUCCUGGGUUGAAGGCUUCUGGAAGGCAGGGAUGUUUCUUCUUCAAUUUUGCAACACUCCGUGCUUCCGAGCACUCAGGGCCUGGAACAUCCCAAGUGUUAAGUGAAGGGCUGUUUACUGUGAUGGGUGUUGGGAGGAAGAAGAAUGCUUCUUCACUGGGUUAAACUGUUGUCCGAGUCUUAAAGGAAUCAAACCCUCUGAGAACUCGGAAUUCUAGCUUACUUGCUCCUAAGAUUUUUUGCAUAAUGUGAAUGUCCACAUUUGCAAGCAAAUAAACAAGUGCCUGGAAAUGAGACAGAAUUCUAGAAAAUUCUUUUCAAACACAGUGAAAGAUCAUCAGUCUUGAAAUUAGUUUAUAAUGUGAAGAAAGGAAAGACUCUCGUUUGCCGCAAGCUACGAGAAAGUGAUGUGUUCUUUCUAGUUAUUUCUCAAAAGCAUAUUCAAAAAGGAAAUUCUUUAAGUAGACUGUGCUUUGAGAAGAUAAUCUUAUUUUGACCUGCUCAGAGGAAGCUGACCCAGUCUUUCAUCCAGCCCUUUUAUUUUUUUUUAAGUUUUUAUUUAUUUAAGUAAACUCUACUCCCAAUGCGGGACUCAAACUCACGACCCCAAUAUCAAGAGUCGCACGCUCCGCCAACUGAGCCAGCCGGUGCCCCUCAUCCAGCCCUUUUGAAGAGAGUGGUAUUACAAGUCAAGUCCUGUCACAACCAUCACAACGAAGAGUCCACAUAAAAGGACCAUUUCCUAUGGAAAUAAAUGCCGUAUUAAUUGAUGUAUUAAUCCAGAGGUUAGCAGGUCAACAAUGCUGUUGGCGUCCCUAGCAGCUAGAGGUGUUUUAUAGACCUGCUCGCACAUACUUCUCACAGCUGUUAAGUAGUGAUUUCCCUUGGACACCACUCACCCCCUAUUCCCCCCAAACCACUGAAUUCUAGAGGCAAAGCCCACUCAUUGAGAGAACAGAAGCAGUCCACUUCUGGCUGCAGUCCAGGCAGGUGGCCAUGGCCAGGAGCGAGCUUGCAAUGUCAAAGUUUAUCUGACUACCCCUCCUCUGCCUUUCCGGGUUGCAAACCAGCUUGCGGGUUGCUUUCUCUUCUCACACUGGCUUUUAACUCCCAUCUCCCCAUCCUCUGUGCAAACUGUUGUUUUUAUAGGAACCAAAUGUAGCAACUUACCUGUCACAUAACAAAAUGUAAAGUGCAAUUAAAUCUUCAUCCCAGUAGACACUGGGAUCUGUCGCACAAACAUGGAGAUGGGGAGGUGCCCUGACUCAUGCCGGGUACUCCCCCACCAGCCCAGCACCAGCAGCCAGCUCUCAGGUGGCCCUUGUGUAAACAGGUCCCACGGCAGAACGGUCUUCUAGAAACAACCUGGAGGAAUGGCUGAAUGUGUUACUGUGUGUCCCAUGCACAUGUGUGUAUGUGUGUGUCUGUGGAGCAGGACGUGUGGGGACCCCUGGGGCGUCCACUUUGUUCCUGGCUGACAGUGGCUCUCAGCACCCAGUGCUCCGUCCCUCCAGAGCUCCAGUUUGUUCACGUUAGGGAGAAAUGUCCCCUAGGGAGGGCCUGAGGAACUACCUUUGCUGAGCAGGUGAAUGGUGCUUGGCUAAACAUCCAAGGCCAUCUUAUUUCCUUUAGCCAGUGAGUGUUCUGAGAAGGAGUCAGAGGGAAUGUGACCCAGUUCUGGCCAGUGAAAUGUUAAGGAGAGUGUGUAUUAUUAUUGCAGUGGCUUUGCUUCCCUAACGGAAAGGUAAGCCCAUUAUCUUAGAGAAAAGAAGACAGCCCCUCUCCCUCCUUCCUGCCCAAAAACCAGCAUGAUGGCUCGGGCUGUGGCAGCCAUUUUAGGACUGUGAGGAAAAGACAAAGAGAAUUCGGGGCGUCAGUCCAGCGCCGUGGAGCUGGAAACCCACUGGUACCACUAGGCUCGUGCGAGCCGUUGCACGGACCCACCCGUUCCUGACACACUGGAGCAGGUCAGACUGUCAGUAGUCCCUUCUGGGAACAGGGAGGGGGGUGGAAUGGAGGGGAUGGCACAUCAGAGGGGGAGUCUCUUCUGUUUGGCUGAAGUGUUUUCUCUUGGCAAUCUGAUGCCAAUAAUGCGCAAUUCCCUGUGAAAUAUUAUAAAGCCACUGAUUUUUGUAUACGUAUAGUUUUAAUAGUGUAAAGAACUGCUGAUAAAAUAAUCAGAAAUGUAGAUCAUUGGGGUAUAUAGUGUAAUCCCAACUUUUUUUGGGAAAAGGUAGAGGAAAAAGUGGGGAGGUAAGUAUGUCAAAACAAUGGUUUACUUCUGGGAAGUGGGAUUCUGGGCAGGUGCGUUUUUUUUUUACACGUGUGUGUAGUUUUCACAUACGGGGUUUUUUUCCUGAUUUUUUUUUUCAAUUAUUGCCAUAAAAGACAAAGUAUAAAAUUUACCAUCUUAGCCAUUUUUUUUUUUUAAAGAUUUUAUUUAUUUAUUUGACAUAGAGAUAGUGAGAGCAGGAACACAAGCAGGGGUAGUGGGAGAGAGAAGCAGGCUUCCUGCCAAGCAGGGAGCCCGACGCGGGGCUCGAUCCCAGGACUCUGGGGUCAUGACCUGAGCCGAAGGCAGACGCUUAACAACUGAGCCACCCAGGCGCCCAGCCAUUUUUUUUUUAAGUAGGCUCAUGCCCAGCGUGGAGCCCAAUGCAGGGCUUGAACUCACAACCCUGAGAUCAAACCCUGAGCUGAGAUCCAGAGCCGGAUGCUUCGCCGACUGAGCUCCCAGGCGCCCCGCACCUGCGCUGUGUUUAAGCGCACAGGGCGGUGGCGUUAAGCACAUGCCCCAUCGUGCAGCCACCACCAUCUCCAGUACGCAUCACCUCACCGUUCAGCAGUAAGCCCCCUUCCCCGUGCCUGCAACCCUGGCGCCCACCGUUCACUUGCCGCCUCCGGGAAUGUGACUGUUGCAGGUGCCUCCCGCCUGUCAGUGCAUCAUGCGGCAUUUGUCCCUUCGUGACCACCUUAUCUCACUUAACAAACGUCCUCCUGGUUCCUGCAUGUGGGAGCAGGUCUCAGAAUUCCCUUCCUGAGGUGAAACAGUAGUGCAUCGUAUAUACACACCAAGUCUUGCCUGUUCGUUCAUGCCUCAGUGGACACUUGGGACUACUUCCACAUUGUAGCUGUUGUGAAUAAUGCUGCCGUGCACAUGGGUGUGCAGAUAAGCACGUAUUUUGUAAUCAGAAAAGUAGCCGGGGCGCCUGGCUGGCUCAGUCGUUCAGCGUCUGCCUUCGGCUGAGGUCAUGAUCCUGGGGUCCUGGGAUCGAGCCUCGCAUGGGGCUCCCUGCUCAGCGGGGAGCCUGCUUCUCCCUCUCCCACUCCGCCUGCUUGUGUUCCCUCUCUCACUGUCUCUCUCUGUCAAAUAAAUAAAAUCUUAAAAAAAAAAGUGAGAGAAAAGUAGCAAAUGAAGAAAAUCUUGGGGAAGCCAAAUCAUCUAUAUUGAAUUUGUGCUUUUCCCACCAUCAUUUCUCAUUUUCUAUCAGAUCUUUUGAACACUCAGCCAACAGUAACAUCUCUGCCAGAAGGGAGAAUUGGUACCUGGACCCUCUCUCCCCACUCGAAAGCCUGAUGGCUGCACAGGGUUAGCCGUGUCCAGGCGCUCCACCUGCUUCCUCGUGGGUCCUUCCUAUCCUUCCCUCGCUGGGCACAGUGGUGACGUCAGCCCUGACGCCAUUCCCAGAGAGACACGCUCUGGCCCCAGCCCUGCACGCUCCUUCCUCAUACUUACAAGCUGUGUCCGGGCUGUCCAGCUGUUUCCCCAGCAAACUGUACAGAAGACAAAACAGCCACAGGUCAGUUCACCAGUGACCCGGGGCUCCCUGUGGUCCCCACCCUCCGGGGUGCCCGGGGUUUCGGGGGGACACGCAGGCCUCUUCAGGUGGAGAGGUGCCACGGAGCUCGCAAACUUGGGGGGGAUGCACAGCACUCAAGUCAUAAAAACCCAGGGGCGCCUGGGUGGCUCAGUGGGUUAAGCAUCCGACUCUUGAUUUCGGCUCAGGUCAUGAUCUUGGGGUCAUGGGAUGGAGCCCCUCAUUGGGCUCCUCGCUCAGCAGGGAGUCCGCUUGAGAUUCUCUCCCUCUGCCCCUCCCCCCACACUCACUCUCUCAAAUACAUAAAUAAAUAAAAUUUUUUUUUAAAGAUUUUAUUUAUUUAUUCAUGAGAGAGAGAGAGAGAGGCAGAGGGAGAAGCAGGCUCCCAAGGAGCAGAGAGCCCGAUGUGGGACUCGAUCCCAGGACCCUGGGAUCAUGACCUGAGCCGAAGGCAGACGCUUAACCAUCUGAGCCACCCAGGCGCCCUAAAUAAAUAAAAUUUAAAAAAAAACAACAACAUAAGUAAAUAAAAUCUUAAAAAAAAAAAAAAAAGGGGUGCCUGGGUGGCUCAGUUGGUUAAGCGACUGCCUUCGGCUCAGGUCAUGAUCCUGGAGUCCCGGUAUCGAGUCCCGCAUCGGACUCCCUGCUCGGCAGGGAGUCUGCUUCUCCCUCUGACCCUCCCCCUCUCAUGCUCUCUCUCUCUCAUUCUCUCUCUCAAAUAAGUAAAUAAAAUCUUAAAACAACAACAACAACAACAACAACAACAAACCCUUGAACUGAUUUGUGAUACAAAUCACUUGAGAUACUCAGGCCAGGUGUCCAGGUGCGAGGCUGCAUUGAAAGCACCUUUUCUGCCCCCCUCCUGGUUGACCUGGCAGCCCCCACCCCCGCCAGCCUGAGCCAGCCGCGUGCCACUGACCUGUCCUCAAAAGCCUCUGGUGGGCCCUGCUUCGCUGCCACUCCAGGCUCUCUGCGGGGCCCCCGAUGCGCCUUGUCCCUACCUGCCUUCCUUGCCGUCUGCAAAGCCUUCCUCCCCGGGCUCUGCCUCUGCACACGGACCCUUUAACUGCUGCCCCCUGGCCCCCCACGCUCCCCCUUGAGCAGCCUGGGUCCGGGUGGCGUGUUUACGGUGCCGGCGCAGCGCUCUGUGCUGGUGUGUGUGCUGGGGCCUCUGCCUCUAUCCCCGGGCUACCUGAGCCCGGAGGAAGGGCCCGGGGAUGCACCCUCAUUAGUCCUCGUUACCUUUGGCAAGGCCCCAGAGGAUCAAGAAUUGAAGACAAGCCUCUCUGUUGGACCCGAGCAAGCUGGGGAGUGAGGGCCCAGGGCUGGAGGGAGGCUGGCAGCCCACCCCUGGGUCGCUGGAAGGAGUGCACCAAGGCUGCUCCUGCCAGUUAGAGAGCUGGAAGCUGCUUCCAGAAGCACGGUGUUACCGUUUCCAGGUACAGUGAACUGAACAGAGUUCUUACUUCCAGAAGGAGGAACAGACUCACCCCUCCUCACUUGUCUCUGCAGCUCUGCCCUGUCCCUUGGGCCUGGCCUACCCUCUGUGUCCCUCUCCACUUCUGCUGUUGGCCCUUCCUGUCUCCGUGUGUCUACCUCCCCUGCGCAGCUUCCCACAGAACCCACCCCCCAAAGUGGAGGCCAUGUGUGUAUGUCCCGCACCUGUCUGUCUGCCAGCCAAGGCUUCCUGGGUUAUUAAUAGAGCGAGUAGAUGACUUAUGGUUCGGAGCUUUUUAUUCCCCUAGAAAAAUUCCACCCGGUUAUCUUUUUCAGUCAACGGGCUUUCAUUGAUUUUUCUCCCCAUGGAUUAAUGAUCUUGUGCAGGAAAAGCUCGCCACCACCUUGAGAAAUGCAGGCCUGGGAAGGAGUCCCAGAGCCUCUGCGGUCUGUGUGUGCAAAGCUGAGCUCCGGCCCUCUUGCUCACCCUCACUGCCCACUCCCGGCACACACUGGAAGCAGGCACCUGCCUUUGGGAUCAGGUCUCCCGGGCACUUAACUCCGCUCUCCUCCCAGCCUCGCGCUGGGAGCCCUCUUGCCCGUGCCACUUCUGGGAAGGCAGAGACCAGGAAGGUAAAGACCAGCUCUCACACUCCCUGGUAACUGGGGUUCUGGGCAACAAUCGGGUUCCUUCCAUCAGUUGCCCAAUUUGGGAGGCCGACGUUAAGCGUAGGCUUUGGAGUGUGCAGGCCUGGGCAGCGCGCACAUUACAGGCUGAACUUAAGGCAGGAAGCGGCUCUGCGCCCUCCCCAGCGCCGAGGGCCGUCUGCGUUCCGGGAAAGCAGAGGCCCCUGUCCGCACGAGGCUUCCCUGGGACGGGCUUUCUGGGCAUUGCUGGGCCAGCCACACGGUGCACUUGAGUCAGGGCCUCUGCCCUGCUUUCUGAUUCCUGCCCCGCCUCCCCCCUGCUGCACAGGCUUGGCUCCGCAGCCCUGGUGGUAGCCUCCUGCUUCCCCACCUUCUGACCUGAGCCCCUUUCGGCAGGUGCAGCCAUUCCUGGGUCCCCGGUGCAUGUUUCCAGCCCAGCCGGUGGUUCUGUAAGCUAACUCCCGGUGCUAGCCGUUGUCCGUUGGAAAUACCACCACUGCAAAGAGCCUGCUAAGGACUCAAUGUCUGUGUCCCCACUGGAGUCCCGUGUUGGCAGCCUCAUCCCCAAAGUGAUGGCGUGAGGAGGCGGUCAUGCGGGUGGGACCCUCCGGAGUGGGGUUAGUGCCCUUAUGAAUGAGACCCCAGAGAGCGCCUCUACUCCUUCAACCCUGUGAGGGCACAGCGUGGGGAGAGGCCUUGAGGCCGUCCGCUCCUCACUGCCUCCAGAGCGUGCACUGUCCAGGGCCUCCAGUACCAUUUGACCCGCUCUGGAAGUGGCAACAAUGGGCCCCUUUGUGUUGUGUCCAUGCUUGCCGGAGAGCAUUCAACGCCCCAGCAUGGCCUGUGAUGUGAUGGGGGUUUGUAACUGCCCCUUAUCAGAGCGAGAAGUCCCUUCGGUUUCUGGUGUGCUAAGCAGGGUUCUUCUCAUGAAUGGAUCUCCAAUUUCAUCUGCAACCGUAGAGAGGAUGGUAUGAGUUCUCCUUUUUUCUCUGAAGUAGUCGACGAUGCUGACUUUUCUGUUUACGGAAGCAGUCUUGCAUUCCUGGGACAAAGCCAGCGUGACUGUGCUUGUAUGAGUCUUUUCAUGUAUGGCCAGGUCCGGUUUGUUACUCGGGGAGGAUUUUUGCAUCUGUGUUCACGGAGGAGACGGCCUGGCGCGUCGCUUUCUCACGUUUCCUGCAUCGGAGUUUGGUGUCAAGGUUAUGAUUGCCUCACAGACCAGCUGGGCAGUUCCCUCUUUCUCUGUGUUCUGAGUUUACCUAAGGCCCGAGCUCUUUGGCCUAAAGGCAUAUGAGAGGGCACCUGGGUGGCUCAGUCCGUUGAGCAUCCGACUCUUGGUUCCAGCUCAGGUCGUGAGAUCGAGCCCGUGUCGUGCUCCAUACUCAGUGGGGAAUCUGCUUGAGGCUCUCCCUCUCCCUCUGCUCCUCCCACUGCGUUCUUUCUCUCUCUCUCAAAUAAAUAAAUAAAUCUUUUUUUUUAAAGAUUUUAUUUAUUUAUUUGAGAGAGAGAGAAUGAGAGAGAGCACAUGAGAGUGGGGAGGGUCAGAGGGAGAAGCAGACUCCCUGCCGAGCAGGGAGCCCGAUGCGGGACUCGAUCCCAGGACUCCGGGAUCAUGACCUGAGCCGAAGGCAGUCGCUUAACCAACUGAGCCACCCAGGCGCCCCAAUAAAUCUUUUUUUAAAAAGCAUAUGAGAACCCCGGGGUGGGGGCCGUCUGGGCCUGGAGUCUGCUCGGUGGGAAGGUCAGCUCCCCACCAGCUUUCCCUUCCAGAAAUCACAUCCUUUUCUUCCCAUCCUGGCCAACCACACCAGCUCCAACCGGACCAUGUGCCCCCGUCAGGGUCACUGCCCUGGCCUCCUUCGGGACUCUUCCUGAAGCUCUCUCCUGCUCCAGAGCCCAGUGGUCUCCAAGUCCAGAAGAGCAACAAGACACUCUGGGCCCUCCUCGGUGGCCGCACCACCUGCCCACCCCCUGCUGCUGUACCCCACGGAGCUUGUGGCACCCCUGGGCUUCCUUGUCGGGGCUUCUGUCCCUGCAGAUCGCUACAAAAGGCUGUGCCUCCCCUGCCCCCAGACCCUUCUACCGCUGAAUGGAUCCCCCUUCCCUUUAGCUCCGGGUCCCCUUUCCCCUGUGGCUCUCUAUGUCUGCCUCUUAUCAGAACCACUUUGAAUAGAAAUAUUCUCUACUGAAGUGGGUGUUCCUGAUUGUUCGCUCGGUCAACAGAUACGUCCAGGGCACUGGGCACCAUCCUCGGUGCCUAAGAUAGACGAGUUCCAGCCAGUCCGGAAUUGUCCAGUGAGUGGGAGACAAAACAGCUGGUACUAUACAGGUGAACACACACAAAAAAAACCCCACAAAAUUAAAUCACCUAGAAUCCCACUGUUAAUGUGUUAGAGCAUUUCCCAGCUUUAAAAAAUGCUUAGAAUAGUUUUCCUGAAUAGGUAGGUACUAGCUUGUUUUACAGAUGAGCAAACUGAGGCACGGAGCAUGCAGGCCACAGGUCACAGGAAUGACCAGGUCUGGAUUUUUACUCAGGCAGCCUGGCUCUGAGCCCCUGACCUUACUCCACACCCCACCUUUAAAAAAAUAUAAUGGGUAGAGCUGUGUGUCCCUGCUCAGAGGCCCCAAAUUUUCACUUCUCUUACUGCAUGCAUCUUACCUUGAGAACAUGGAAAUAUGCAUUCUGUGCAUCCCUUGGCAUCACCCCAGACCUGUUCUACCCAUUGCCUUCGCAGGCUAUGGUGGGGACAGACCCCGCUGGGGAGUCCAGAGGCCUGGGUUCCUGUGGCCCUACCGUCAUCUGGCUGUGUGACCUCAGACUAGUCACUUGACCUCUCUGGGCCUCAGUCUCCACGUUUGUAACAACGCUGGGAUUCAGUCACACUGCUGCGGGCCUGAACGACCCCUCUCUGUUAAGGGGACAGUGCCCCUUGGGACUCCACCUGGCAUGUGUAGAACCUGGAGCUCUGCGGCUUUGGGCAGACGGGGGAGAGGGGCUGGGGCCAUGCGGGUGCUUGGUGGGACAUCUGCGGACCUCUACCCCCUUUCCCGCCUGGCCUCCAAGGAUGUGCUCAGAACCUGGUACACCAUGGCUGUAUCCUCAUGAUUGAAGGUUUGGGGUAGUGCUGGAUGACCUGGGGGAGAGGUGUUCCUGGUGACCUCCCGCCCUGCCAGGCCUGGCCGGGUUUCUGUGCUCUGUGGGCUGGGUGGCCAGUCCUUAGAUUGUCCUGUCCCUGGCAGUGUAGGCCUGCCCUGCGUGCCAGUUCCCACCCCACCGGAGUGAUUGUCCUCUCUCUAGACGAGACACCUUUGACCUUUGCAUGCCAUGGCCGCCUGGAGAAGAGUAUGGACUCCUCAAAACAAUAUUUUUAUUUUUAUUCGGGUUUUUUAAUUUUUUUUUCAAAUGACAUUACCGUUUCUACUCUUUAUUCUAUUUCAUAGAAUUACAUUCUUUUUUUUAAAAUUUUUUUAUUGUUAUGUUAAUCCCCAUACAUUACAUCAUUAGUUUUAGAUGUAGUGAUCCAUGAUUCAUUGUUUGUGCAUAACACCCAGUGCUCCAUGCAGAACGUGCCCUCCUCAAUACCCACCACCAGGCUAACCCAUCCUCCCACCCCCCUCCCCUCUAGAACCCUCAGUUUGUUUUUCAGAGUCCAUCGUCUGUCAUGUUUCGUCUACCCCUCCGAUUUCCCCCCCUUCAUUCUUCCCCUCCUGCUAUCUUCUUCUUUUUUUCUUUUCUUAACAUAUAUUGCAUUAUUUGUUUCAGAGGUACAGAUCUGAGAUUCAACAGUCUUGCACUCGGGUUUUUAAAUUUAUUUUUUGGGCGCCUGGGUGGCUCAGUUGGUUAAGCGACUGCCUUUGGCUCAGGUCAUGAUCCUGGAGUCCCGGGAUCAAGUCCCGCAUCGGGCUCCCUGCUCGGCGGGGAGUCUGCUUCUCCCUCUGACUCUCCUCCCUCUCAUGCUCUCUGUCUCUCAUUCUCUUUGUCUCAAAUAAAUAAAUAAAAUCUUUUAAAAAAUAAAUAAAUAAAUAAAUAAAAUUUAAUUUUUAUUUUAGUCAUCUUUACCCCCAAUGUGGGGCUCGAAUUCACAACCCCGAGAUCAAGAGUUACACACUCUUGCAACUGAGCCAGCCAGGUGCCCCCCAAAACAAUAUUUUUUAAUGAAUAAAUAGAGGAAAGCAAUUACAUAGAAAACAAUUUGGGGCACCUGGGUGGCUCAGUUGGUUAAGCGUCUGCCUUAGGCUCAGGUCCUGAUCCCAGGGUCCUGGGAUUGAGCCCCGCAUCAGGCUCCCUGCUCAGUGGGGAGCCUGCUUCUGCCUCUUCCUCUGCUGCUCCCUCUGCUUGUGCUCACUCACUCUCUCUCUCUGUCAAAUAAAUAAAAUCUUGGGGCACCCAGGAUGCUCAGUCGUUAAGCGUCUGCCUUCAGUUCGGGUCAUGAUCCCAGGGUCCUGAGAUCGAAACCCGCAUCGGGCUCCCUGCUCGGCGGGAAGUCUGCUUCUCCCUUUCCCACUCCCCUGCUUGUGUUCCUGCUCUCACUAACUCUCUCUGUCAAAUAAAUAAAUAAAAUCUUUAAAAAAAAAAAGAAAAGAAAAGCAGUUCAUAAAAUUCUUAAAUACAUGUGUGGUGUAGUAGUGUAUUUAUUAAUGCAUUAAAUAAUAGGACCAAAGCUGCAAGUCUACAAUUUAUCAUUUUGAAGUAGUGGUGAGUGUAAAUGAGAUUAAUUUAGAGAUUUCGGCUUCAGUUGCAGUAUGAUUUGAAAUUAUCUGGAUUUCUGUUGGUGGCAAAGUCACAGGUGCAGUUGACAUCGCUGAGGUUUAUGGCCCCUGUUCCUGAUGGGAAAGCAAACAUUAGAGGUGGGUGAAAAUGAGGAUGUCAGUGUUUUCUGUCCAGUUUCCGAAACCCCAAACUCCCAUCCCCCGGCCCCCCCUCCCCAGGGUUCGCCCUGAGGACCCUGGGGUGAGAACCCCUGCCCUGGGUAAUAUGGUUGUGUAGGAGGAGCUAGGAGAGAAGUGGGUGGGGUGAGGGGCAGAGAGGGAAUGCGUGGUUGAUUGAGUGGAUCUCUUUUUUUUUAAAUUAUUUAUUUGAUA